rnacentral:lncRNA from 1 species
CUGACCUCAGAGCCAUCAAAACUGGUCUCCCAGGAUUAAAUGACUUAACACAGGGCUUGGUCCAUAAUAGUUGCUCAGUAAAUGUCUGCUCUUCUGAAGCUUCUCCUUCAGCAUCUAGUCAGUAUGCAUUUUGUAUUUUUCAAAUAAAUGAAACCUCUCAUCAAAUCUCUUCUGUGUCAGCCUUGAUUCUAAUACUUCUCUGUCCUUUUCUUGCUGGUUUACAGAAUCCCAUCAUGCCUUGGAUUUUGGUGCUGUCAGUCUGAAAAGCAGACGUACCCGUCUGGUACUCUAGAGGGAAUGUCCUUUCCUGAAUGAAAAAGCUGGGCCAUUUGGGGAUUUGGAGAAUAAAGGUUGUCAGGCUGUGAUUUUAGCGGCGUCCUGAGCUCCUAUGGAGAUUUGCCUCUCUCCAGCCUUGGGCUAUCUGCAUUCCUGAACAUCUCUGGGCCCAGAAGGAAAAGGAGAAUGCUGACCGGCUCUGGGAAUGGCCUGAAUGAGGAGAGACGAGAGAACUGCUCAGACAUGUUAAGUAACUCAGCAGAGGUCACACAGCUAAGGGACACAGAGGAACGUAUCAAGUAGUGAAGGCCAUUUUCCAUCACUGCUGUCCUCCACGAGCUUAUGUCUGGAAUGGGAGGCAUCUUUGCACCAAUGAACGGGUUGGAUGGAGCCCAGAAAACACUUGACACAGGUAGCAUUGACCCAGAGAGAAGUGAAUCCUUGUGUCCAGUGACUAGAAGACACGCGAACCUGGAACAAGGAGCCCAGGAGGUUGCUGUGCUUCCCCCACAUAGGAGAGCACCCACCCCCUCCUGCCCCUCGCCUGUAACACAUGAUCCAUUCAGCAGUGAUUUGGUCACUGCUGAGCUGUCUUCAUUGCAUGUGAUUUUGGCGGCAGAGUCGGUCUGGAAAUUGUAUUUUCGAUUAAACCCCCUUGUUGAGCCGCUUUGGUUUUGA